GGAUGGCGCUCUAGCGUCGUGCCUAUACCGGGCCGUCAACGGCAAAGUGGGUGUCUGCCUUCGGGCAAGAGCCGUUAAGCCUUGACGAGUAGGAGGGUCGCGGCGGUGUGCGCAGAAGGGUCGGGGCGUGAGCCCGCCUGGAGCCGCCGUCGGCGCAGAUCUUGGUGGUAGUAGCAAAUACUCUAGCGAGGGCCUGGAGGACUGACGUGGAGAAGGGUUUCUUGUGAACAGCCGUUGCACAAGAGUCAGUCGACCCUAAGCCCUAGGAGAAAUCCGAUGUUGAUGGGUAGCUAGACAAAAAUCUAUGUUCUGUCUGUUACGAAACGUUUCAAGCCCCCACCACUAGAGCGGUUUACGUUCCGCGGCCCGAUCGGCCAGGGUGUUCUGCCUUAGUGUGUGACCGUCCGGCACUCGUUGUCGGGUAAGAGGGCUGGCUUGAAACGCGAUGUUUCACCUCGUGACCGUCGAUCGUCCAGUCCUGACCGGGACCGGGCGUUAGGCCAGAGGCUGAACUGGCGUGACAACUGCUCCUGUCGGGCAAAAGGGAAUCCGGUUCCUAUUCCGGAACCCGGCUGCGGAACCGUCACUCUGCGGGCACUCGCCUGCGAGCGCUCGUCGGGGUAACCCAAACUGGCCCGGAGACGCCGGCGGGGGGUCUGGAAAGAGUUUUCUUUUCUUUAUAAGCGUUCGAGUACCCUGGAAUCCUAUAGCAGGGAGAUAGGGUUUGGAACGCGAAGAGCACCGCAGUUGCGGCGGUGUCCGGACCUUCCCCCCGGACCUUGAAAAUCCGGGUGAGGGCUACGCGGAAGUCGCGCCGGAUCGUACCCAUAUCCGCAGCAGGUCUCCAAG
rnacentral:rRNA from 1 species